rnacentral:rRNA from 1 species
UAGGGAAUCUUCCGCAAUGGGCGAAAGCUUGACGGAGCAACGCCGCGUGAGUGAUGAAGGUCUUCGGAUCGUAAAACUCUGUUAUUAGGGUAGAACAAAUGUGUAAGUAACUAUGCACGUCUUGACGGUACCUAAUCAGAAAGCCACGGCUAACUACGUUCCAGCAGCCGCGGUAAUACGUAGGUGGCAAGCGUUAUCCGGAAUUAUUGGGCGUAAAGCGCGCGUAGGCGGUUUUUUAAGUCUGAUGUGAAAGCCCACGGCUCAACCGUGAAGGGUCAUUGGAAACUGGAAAACUGGAGUGCAGAAGAGGAAAGUGGAAUUCCAUGUGUAGCGGUGAAAUGCGCAGAGAUAUGAAGGAACACCAGUGGCGAAGGCGACUUUCUGGUCUGUAACUGACGCUGAUGUGCGAAAGCGUGGGGAUCAAACAGG